UCUUCCCGGAUAGGAUCACGAAGUGGUGUUGUGAGAUGCGACAAGUUCUCCGGAUGUCCCUCGGCAAGCUUUAAAAGGCAAGCAUUUCCCUAUACUCCUGUCCCUGCAGGAGUCGCUCACCUAUUUUAUUUUGCUUUCUCCCUCAUGCUAGCUUUAAGUUGCGUUCUUGUCACGUGUCCCUUCCACUUGUUACCUCAAGCAGCCCAUAUUACCUCCACCAACCACCUACAGCUAUUGUUUGGUUACCGGGUCUGCCUUGCGAGUCGUAGUGCAUGCUAGUGCUGUUUAUAUCGUGUUACCCUUAUCGCUAUCUUAUCGGGUUAUCUGUUGGGAGAUCAUGACACAUGCUACAUGUUUAUAUCUGUCGAGGGUAUCAUGGUUACUUGUUAAUAAUUGUUAGCGGAGACAUCGGUGGGUCAGCUGAUCGUUUUAUGACGGCUCACUUGUGUUUCUUUAAAGCUUAGGACCCGAGUUCCUGUUAUCUGUUCCAAGACUGAGCGCUCUAACCACACAUGGGUAUGCCUAUGGGUCUCCCCUCGACCACUGCCGGAAUCUACAGCUUUGUCCAGUGGCCACAACUAGAUUGUAACGUUUCCUUUUUGAUGCGUGCGUGCAAGCUUGUUUCCUUAUGUUACUUUUUGGGAAGCCUUAUGCCUUGUAUCCCUUUGUUCUUGUACGCACGUAUAGGUGGGAUACGAUGGUAAGCGGUAUCCGAAAGAGUGAGGUCAUUGGUCAUCUCCCCAGAGUGAGCUCUGAUCCAAUGUGCAUCUCCUAGGAACUGACUUAGCCGUAGACUCAAACAACUAAGUCCGCUUCGGAGAUACGGCCGGACUUCGAUUCGGGUUCAACUUGGUUAGGUGGCUUCCUGGACAUUGUUGUCGUGAAGGAGAGUGCGUGUCGUGAUAUCCUUCCCUUGCUAGGUUGGGUUGAUCGUGCGUGUGGGCACAUUUGGGCACCCCUGCAGGGUUAAAUCUUAUCGAUAAGCCGCGUCCGCGGUUAUGGACGACUUGGAGCUGUAUGACUCGACCAUAGACAACUUACACCUGUUGUUCAUUGAUAAUAACUUGCUUAGUAAGUUGGCACAACUUCAAUAAUAAAUGGUUAAAACUUGACAACCGUGUGAGUGCCUUUGUAAGUACUUCUUUGCGAGGGGGGAACGUAUCGGCUGUGUUAUGUUUGCAGAGUAUAGAACUGCUAGCUUAUGCGCUCUCUCAUCUUCUCUGAUUAGACGAAUGUUGUAGAGUGUCUCUAUAGGUUUUUAGUGCUUGCGCGCUGCCGCUCAACCCCACAAUAUUGCCUAUGACGUUCCUCUUGCGUCCUCUAAGUCCCCUGCGUGCCUCAAGUACAAAGGAUGACUGGUUGACGAAUGCUUAUACGUCUUGAAGUCUUGUUAAGUACGAACCCGUACUUAUUGCUGCUUCUACGGGACAUAACCGGGCAUGUAUGAAGAUAUGUUCGAUGAAGACGACGCUAGCAAGGUUACCCUUCCGGCUUGGCCUGGGCAGGGUUAUGGACGCCACUGAUUAUCUUCAGGACUCUUAGUCCAAUUUGUAUCUUGUCCGUACUCGGAUGUAUUUGAUCUUCUGUAUGAUUUGGAUCUUUGUAUGUAUAUUUGUAUCUUGACUCGUUGGAGUCGUUGUUGUAAUAUAUCUGUAUCUUGUGGGCUCUAUUGUAAUCCUGUUGUAAUGUUA